ACACCCUCAAGCUCUGCUUGGUGUUGGGCGUCUGUCCCGCCUUCGCGCGCGGACUCGCCUCAAAGUCAUUGGCAGCGGCCUCGCCGGCUCCUCGCGCAGCACAUUUGCGCUUCUCGGAGCUCCCGGCGGACCCGCGUCCAGCAAGCACUUCUACG
rnacentral:misc_RNA from 1 species